GGCUGGAUGGCAUCACUGACUCAAUGGAUGCACUCACACUCACCAGGGCCCCAGACCACCCCCCACCGGACACUGUUUACUAGUGGAAGAAUGAGUUUGUGUUUUCCAUGGUCCCAUGGAACACCUUCUCUCUCUCGUGGAGAUCCUGAGCUGCACGUGGACAGGGCCUAGGUAGCUGGAGAGACUCCUGGAUAUCUGUUUUAAGGUUUAAAAGGAAUUAAGAUGCCAAAGACUUUGACUGUGUGGAUC